GAAUAAGUUCAUUAGCAAGUCGUAUUUACCCGUUAGGUGAAAUAAAGAGAUAUAACUUUAAUUCUACUUCAACAUAAAAUUUUCGAAAAUUAUGGGUAAAAAUAAAUCUUGCGACCCACAACGCAACUCCCAGGCUGCGAAAGACCAAUUAUAAGGCGCCAUAAAAAAAGUAUAAAACAUUUUCAUCGCUAUCAAACAAUACAAUAUGUUCUCAGCUGUUUGGAGCUGCCAAAUUUAAUUAACCACGAGCACAGAAUGCGAAUUUAUGAUACGAACGCUUCGCAAACUUCAACAGUCAGUAAUAAUAGCCUUUGCAGUGACAACUGUUCCUUGACGGAGACUCACUUUAAGCAUCAGUUGUAAACAUUCUGACAGACCAGGACCGACAUGUUCAAGACAUUGCUUGUCUUGAUGAUCGUAUGCUUCGCAUCUGUAUACAGUUCCCCGUUUUUAUAUCAGCCGCCAAAUGGUAAGUUAAGGCUAUAUAAUUUCUUGAUUUAGGUUAGGUUAAACAGGUGUUUCAGUCAUUUCAAUCUUUUGUUAAACUCUCCACUUAUAUCACUCCCAACAGUUGACAGAGUUAUACAUCUUUACGCUAAUCAGUAUGCAAAGGCGAAAAUUGGUUGGAGAUUAUUCAGAAGCUAGAACCAGGAUAAGGAAAUAGUACCAGGAAAGGCUGAAGGUCAAUUUAAAAAGAUUAACUUAAGAGAGUUAAUCCCUUCAUAAAGGCCUUGAUAGAGCAAUGCAUUUUCACAGUAAUGUUGGGCAAAGGUCAACAUUGGUAAAAAUUAUAGAGUCAAGUUCUGCCAUAAUAGGGAGAUAGCCUUUCUUAAUUGAGCAUGAGGUUAACUAACGAGCGUUAAUCCCUUUUAGACCUUAUUCUCUGGGUAAUUCUUCUCACGUUAUUUUUAGAUAUGGCGUCCAGUUCUCUACCAGGUGGAUUUCGUAUUGCCGGUUAAAAAUUAAAAUUAACAAUCCCUCUGAAAUCGAAGUUUAAGUUUUAUCAGAUGUAAGACCCUCUAUAAUAACGUUUAAGCUCGACAGCGAUCCUCAGUUUGUUAUAGAGGACGUGAGGUCUCAUAUGAAUGGCUUAAAACCCUGAUCAAUGAUCCUGAUCCAGAUCACCCAA